rnacentral:miRNA from 1 species
CUUCCAAUCAGCGAGGUACAUCUACCUCGUUGACCGGAAGAGUUUCCUUCCGGUCAACAAGGGUACAUCCUCGUUGAUCGGAAGGAACCCCUUCCGAUCAAAGAGGUCGAUGUACCUCCCUGACCGGAAG